GCUGGGUGUGGUGGUGCACAUCUGUAAUCCCACCUAUUUGGGAGGCUGAGGCAGGAGAAUCGCUUGAACCCGGGAGGCGGAGGUUGCAGUGAGCUGAGAUCAUGCCACUGCACUCCAGCCUGGGUGACAGAGUGAGACUCUGUCUCAA
rnacentral:SRP_RNA from 1 species